rnacentral:rRNA from 1 species
GACGAACGCUGGCGGCGUGCCUAAUACAUGCAAGUCGAACGCAGUGGGGACGGGUGAGUAACCCGUGGGUAACCUCCCAUCAGAGGGGAUAACACUUGGAAACAGGUGCUAAACCGCUACUGAUGGAUGGACCCGCGGUGCAUUAGCUAGUUGGUGAGGUAACGGCUCACCAAGGCCACGUUGCAGAGCCGACCUGAGAGGGUGAUCGGCCACAGUGGGACUGAGACACGGCCCAGAAGCCGACGUGUGGCAGCAGUAGGGAAUCUUCGGCAAUGGACGAAAGGCUGACCGAGCAAGGCCGCGUGAGUGAAGAAGGUUUUCGUAUCGUAAAACUCUGUUGUUAGAGAAGCGGUAUCUAACCAGAAAGCCACGGCUAACUACGUGCCAGCCGCCGCGGUAAUAC